ensembl:lncRNA
AAAAGAGAAAAGAAAUGAGGGAACAAGAAUAUUCAGAGAACUUGGAAGCAAAUGGAUAAAAAUCAGGAAACAAAAUGGAUUAAACUGAAUCUAAAGGUCAUGUGAUCAGCAGACUAAGCAGAGAUGCCCAGACCUCCCCUUUCUCCACAUCCAAUUCUUCAUGGGUGAUGACCAAGGCAGCCGACAGCAGGACAACGACCCCAAACACACAGCCAAAGUCAUUAAGAACUAUCUUCAGCCUAAAGAAGAACAAGAAGUACUGGAAGUGAUGGUACGGCCCCCACAGAGCCCUGAUCUCAGCAUCAUGGAGAGUGUCUGGGAUUACAUGAA